GUUCUCUUCAAUGGCACAUAUAUGAAAAGUGGAAAGGGAAAAAUGGAGAAGGGUUGCAUGGCCCUUGCCCAAAGCUGACAUGCAGAUUCAUGAAGCUAUCCAUAUUUUU